rnacentral:rRNA from 1 species
AGUGAACGCUGGCGGCAAGCCUAACACAUGCAAGUCGAACGAGUGGCGGACGGGUGAGUAAUGUCUGGGAAACUGCCUGAUGGAUGGGGAUAACUACUGGAAACGGUAGCUAAUACCGCAUACCAUCGGAUGUGCCCAGAUGUGAUUAGCUAGUAGGUGGGGUAAAGGCUCACCUAGGCGACGAUCCCUAGCUGGUCUGAGAGGAUGACCCUCCACGCGUGAACUUAGACACGGUCCAUAGUCCUACGGGAGGCAGCAGUGGGGAAUAUUGCACAAUGGGCGCAAGCCUUAUGCAGCCAUGCCGCGUGUAUGAAGAAGGCCUUCGGGUUGUAAAGUAAUUUCAGCGUGGAGGCGUUACCCGCAGAAGAAGCACCGGCUAACUCCGUGCCAGCAGCCGCGGUAAUUC